rnacentral:rRNA from 1 species
CCUACGGGUGGCUGCAGUAGGGAAUUUUGCGCAAUGGGCGAAAGCCUGACGCAGCAACGCCGCGUGAUCGAUACGCCUUUCGGGAUUUUAAGCUCUGUUUGUUAGGGCGGAUUUUGACGGUAUCUACCGAGUAAGCACCGGCUAACUCCGUGCCAGCAGCCGCGGUAAUACGGGGGGUGCAAGCGUUACUCGGAAUCACUGGGCGUAAAGAGUUCGUAGGCGGGGCAAUAAGUCAGAUGUUAAAGGCAGUGGCUCAACUACUGUACGGCAUUGGAUACUUGCGAGCUGGAGUGCGGUAGAGGUAGAGGGAAUUCUUGGUGUAGGGGUAAAAUCCUUAGAGAUCAGGAGGAAUAUUGAUGGCGUAGGCGAUUUGCUGGAACGUAAUUGACGCUGAGGAACGAAAGCCAGGGGAGCAAAUAGGAUUAGAUACCCGGGUAGUC